rnacentral:lncRNA from 10 species
CACAAUUUUUCCAGCAAAACUUGUAUGUGAAAAUAUAAGCAAAAUGAUAAAUGUGACUGGCCGACAAGCAAAAAACAUUGUUUACCAUCAAACAGCACCAAAACUUCUGGCUGUGUUAUUACCAAUUUGAAUGGACCUUUGCCGAAAGUCCCUGAAGCCAAGCCACACUGCUAACUGAUGAGAGACCAGCUUGAAAGAGGGAGGACCUGCCAAUUGCCAUCAGCACAACUCCAGAUAUAUGGGAGUCAGGUGAUCAUAAACCAUCCAUUUUCUGCUGAGUCACAGUAGACUGCAACUCCAUGAAUGAGACAAGGAGGUGUCGGUAAAAACAAAACAAAACAAAACAAAGCAAAAACUGCCUGGUGUAACCACAG